rnacentral:rRNA from 1 species
GCUCAGGAUGAACGCUAGCUACAGGCUUAACACAUGCAAGUCGAGGGGUAGCAGGGUAGCAAUACCGCUGACGACCGGCGCACGGGUGAGUAACACGUAUCCAACCUUCCCAUAACUCAGGGAUAGCCUUUCGAAAGAAAGAUUAAUACCUGAUAGUACUUAAGAAAGGCAUCUUUUUUAAGUUAAAGAUUUAUUGGUUAUGGAUGGGGAUGCGUUCCAUUAGAUAGUUGGUGAGGUAACGGCUCACCAAGUCUUCGAUGGAUAGGGGUUCUGAGAGGAAGGUCCCCCACAUUGGUACUGAGAUACGGACCAAACUCCUACGGGAGGCAGCAGUGAGGAAUAUUGGUCAAUGGGCGAGAGCCUGAACCAGC